CCUGGUUGAUCCUGCCAGUAGUCAUAUGCUUGUCUCAAAGAUUAAGCCAUGCAUGUCCCAGUUCAGGCCUUAAUACGGUGAGACCGCGAAUGGCUCAUUAAAUCAGCUAUGGUUUAUUGGAUCGUGCCCGUUAGAUGGAUAACUGUAAUAACUCUAGAGCUAAUACAUGCCUCGAUGCCCUGACCCUGCUCGUGUUUGCCUUGCUUGCUUGCAUGUGGUGGGGGAUGGGUGCACUUAUUAGAUCAGAAGCCAGCCAACUGUGCGUGUGCGGCCCACCGCGAGGUGGACGUCGCGUGCGUUGAGACACUCACUUCUGGUGACUCUGGAUAAUUGUUACAGAUCGCAGUCGGCGUUGAGUCGGCGACGGGUCCUUCAAAUGUCUGCCCUAUCAACUUUCGAUGGUAGGUGACCUGCCUACCAUGGUGGUAACGGGUAACGGGGAAUCAGGGUUCGAUUCCGGAGAGGGAGCCUGAGAAACGGCUACCACUUCCAAGGGAGGCAGCAGGCGCGCAAAUUACCCACUCCCAGCACGGGGAGGUGGUGACGAAAAAUACCGAUGCGGGACUCCUUCAAGAGGCUCCGUAAUCGGAAUGAGUGGACUCUAAACCCCUUCACGAGGAUCAAUUGGAGGGCAAGUCUGGUGCCAGCAGCCGCGGUAACUCCAGCUCCAAUAGCGUAUAUUAAAGUUGCUGCAGUUAAAAAGCUCGUAGUUGGAUCUCGGUAGCAUUGUUGCCUGUUGGUGAUUGAGCGGCCGGUGUGUGGUUAUCGGUGCUCAGUUGCCUCGGCGCCUGCGUGUUGGCGGGCCGGUGGGUGGUUCGGUUGGUGGGUCGGGCAGUUGGUGCCCACUUGUCGUCUGGUCUGCUUGCUGGUUCGCUCAUUCACUUGCAGCGGCGUUUGGGGGCGCUGUGUGGUCGUGGCCAUGAGCAAGCACUGUCGCUAGAGGUGAAAUUCAUGGACCGUAGCCAGACAAACUAAAGCGAAAGCAUUCGUCAAGCAUGUUUUCAUUGGCUACAAUGACGGUGUCAACGAGUGAGACCUUCUGGCCCGAGAGGGUUGGGCUUGGAAUUGUUCCCCGUGAACGAGAAAUUCCUAGUAAGUGCGAGUCAUAAGCUUGCGCUGAUUACGUCCCUGCCCUUUGUACACACCGCCCGUCGCUACUACCGAUUGAAUGGUUUAGUAAGAUCCUUCGAUCGGCGUCAUUGUAGCAGUUGCCGGGAGGUCAUUGUCCUGCAGACGCUGAGAAGACGACCAAACUUGAUCAUUUAGAGGAAGUAAAAGUCGUAACAAGGUUUCCGUAGGUGAACCUGCGGAAG
rnacentral:rRNA from 1 species